CCUUGAACAUUUCCCUUCUGAGAUUAUCUGUUCAGUUUGGUCCGAAGUUGUGGAAAAGUGCAGAAUCAACGAAACUCGACGAGAGUCGAUCUUCAGAGGACG
rnacentral:ribozyme from 1 species